rnacentral:rRNA from 1 species
UAGGGAAUCUUCCACAAUGGACGCAAGUCUGAUGGAGCAACGCCGCGUGAGUGAAGAAGGUUUUCGGAUCGUAAAGCUCUGUUGUUGGUGAAGAAGGAUAGAGGCAGUAACCGGUCUUUAUUCGACGGUAAUCAACCAGAAAGUCACGGCUAACUACGUGCCAGCAGCCGCGGUAAUACGUAGGUGGCAAGCGUUGUCCGGAUUUAUUGGGCGUAAAGCGAGCGCAGGCGGAAUGAUAAGUCUGAUGUGAAAGCCCACGGCUCAACCGUGGAACUGCAUCGGAAACUGUCAUUCUUGAGUGCAGAAGAGGAGAGUGGAACUCCAUGUGUAGCGGUGGAAUGCGUAGAUAUAUGGAAGAACACCAGUGGCGAAGGCGGCUCUCUGGUCUGCAACUGACGCUGAGGCUCGAAAGCAUGGGUAGCGAACAGGAUUAGAUACCCUGGUAGUCCAUGCCGUAAACGAUGAGCGCUGGGUGUUGGGGACUUUCCGGUCCUCAGUGCCGCAGCAAACGCAUUAAGCGCUCCGCCUGG